AUGGCACCGAUGGCGGCUUCGGCUACUGCAUUCUGCGUCGCGCUGCUGCUGGUUUCCCUGCCCCGUGCCCAUCCGGCGCCUGAACCACAGACGACGGGGUCGUCGUCGUCCAGCUGCACCACCGAGCUCCUACGCCUCCUCCCCUGCCUCUCGUUCCUCGACGGCGGCGCCGCCGCGCCGCCCGACACGUGCUGCGCCAACCUGGGGAGCAUGGUGCACGACCAGCCGCUGUGCCUCUGCCAGGCGCUCAGCCAGUCCGGCUCCGGCAGGUCCCCAGUCGCCGUGAAUAUGUCCCGCGCCGUGCUGCUGCCUUCCGUCUGCCGGCUCGAUCUCCCCGCCGCCGCCAGCGCCUGCUCAGGGCUCCUUCCAGCGGGACAAGAACCAUCACCGCCGGUGAGCACGCCAGGCAUGAGUGUGAACUCCACUGUUCCAUCGACGCCGACGCCGACGACGCCGAUGCCACCGCUGACAACAGCCGCACCGACGACCACCAGCCAGAAUCCGGGAUACAGCAGCGGGUCCAAGCUCAUAGCUGAUGCCAUUUCUGCCGCACUUGGUUUCAUGGCGCUGGCAACAGUUUUAGGCUUCUAG
rnacentral:rRNA from 1 species